rnacentral:tRNA from 1 species
GGAGGUAUAACUCAGUGGUAGAGUGCAUGCCUAGCAUGCAUAAGGUCCUGGGUUCAAUCCCCAGUACCUCCA